AUUCACGGAGCUAGUGCUAGGGCCUGGGCUAAAGGAGGAUGGAGGAAGCCAAGCCGCCACUUCCACCCGACGAGGCAAUCAGUCGUGUGACUCUGUGCAGACGUGGGUGCAUGUCGUCCGGGAGAAGUUCGCAAGGUUCUGAAAACGGCCAGCCUUUUGAGGAGUUCAGCGUAGGAUGUUGGUCAAUGGCGAGAUGUUUGCUCCUCCGUGGAGCAGCGAAGCUCCAGGUCCACAGGUAGCUGCUUCUUACGGCCGUGAAUUGCAGAUCGAAGUGGAACGCACGGCGGACUCAGACUCGAAGAUCCACCUUAGCUCACUUCGCACCUUUAUGACGGAUAGGACACAUAAAAGUGGUGAGUGGUGCCGCAUCUGGAGGUUUGUGCUGGGGGCGCCUGUCAUUACAAGGCAGUUCGAGCGGAUUGCUCUUUCCUUGAGAAGUCUCUCUUAUUGGAAUCGAUUUCGCACCGGACCGUCUGAGAGAAGGGGGAUCAGAGUGUGGAUCGAUUGCAGGGUUCCUCAGCCCCGACAUUGUGGAGGAGAAGUUACAGCUCGAGCAGGAGCACAGAUGAUUCGCUCGAUUUGCUGGUCGAUCUGUUGAUAUUGUGCCUAGUACUACGAUGCGACUAAACCAGUGGGAUCGUCUGUACUCUGCACUCUGUAAAACUUCACUCGAUGAGAUCUCAAGGGCCCUUGUGGUGCCUUGUGGUGACAUACCUCCAGCACUGGUCUCCAGACAUCUCUGCCAACGUCUCUUUGCGCUGAGAUCUGCAGUUCAGCUUUCGCGUCUGCCCGGGGUUCGACGCAAGAUUGCUUGACUUGGGACUUGGGAACACUCAUCGCGAGAGAGUGUACCCAGGGACGGCCCUCGCCUUCGACUACUGGCUCUUGUUGCUUCAGAUCCAGUUUCAAAGGGAUAGAAAAAUAAAAUUAAAUGCAUUUAUAUACAAAA